AAACAGGCCACUGGGCUCUACCAAUCAGCAGGAUGUGGGUGGGGCCAGAUAAGAGAAUAAAAGCAGGCUGCCGGAGGCAGCAUUGGCAACCCACUCGGGUCCCCUUCUGCACCGUGGAAGUUUUGUUCUUUCACUCUUUGCAAUAAAUCUUGCUACUGCUCACUCUUUGGGUCCACGCCGCUUUUAUGAGCUGUAACACUCAGUGCGAAGAUCUGCAGCUUCACUCCUGAGCCCAGCGAGACCACGAGCCCAUGGAGAGGAACAAACAACUCCAGACGCGCUGCGUUAAGAGCUGUAACAUUCACCGCGAAGGUCUGCAGCUUCACUCCUGAGCCAGCGAGACCAGGAACCCACCAGAAAGAAGAAGCUCCGAACACAUCUGAACAUCAGAAGGGAGAGACUCCAGACGCGUCAUCUUAAGAGCUGUAACACUCACGGCGAAGGUCUGCAGCUUCACUCCUGAGCCAACGAGACCACGAACCCACCAGAAGGAAGAAACUCCGAACACAUCUGAACAUCAGAAGGGACAGACUCCAGACGCACCACCUUAAGAGCUGUAACACUCACCGCGAGGGUCCGCGGCUUCAUUCUUGAAGUCAGUGAGACCAAGAACCCACCAAUUCCGGACACACUGGGUCACUUUCUGACUGCACUUUCUUGAAGUAUUCGUCUUUGGUCCUGUGGUAGUACCCAGUGGACAACCUCACUUGCCUGUAAACUACUUCCUUGAGUAGGCAAAGGCUUCCGGAUGCUGAGAGCUGAUCCCAGUCUUGAAG
rnacentral:lncRNA from 1 species